rnacentral:rRNA from 1 species
UUUAACCUCAAAUCAGGUAGGAUUACCCGCUGAACUUAAGCAUAUCAAUAAGCGGAGGAAAAGAAACUAACAAGGAUUCCCCUAGUAACUGCGAGUGAAGCGGGAAGAGCUCAAAUUUAAAAUCUGGCGGUCCUCUGAGCUGUCCGAGUUGUAAUCUAGAGAA